UACGGAGGGGGCUAGCGUUGUUCGGAAUUACUGGGCGUAAAGCGCACGUAGGCGGCUUUGUAAGUUAGAGGUGAAAGCCCAGGGCUCAACCCUGGAAUUGCCUUUAAGACUGCAUCGCUAGAAUUGUGGAGAGGUAAGUGGAAUUCCGAGUGUAGAGGUGAAAUUCGUAGAUAUUCGGAAGAACACCGGUGGCGAAGGCGACUUACUGGACACAUAUUGACGCUGAGGUGCGAAAGCGUGGGGAGCAAACAGG
rnacentral:rRNA from 1 species